AAUCAAAACAGGAGGCUUAAGGUCUUUUGGGAACUUAUAGAUAUACAAAAAGCAGGAUAUGCCAUUGAUGAACUUUUAAAGUGAGAGAGAGAUGGGGCCUCUAAAUAAAUAAACAUUUACACCCUGUCCAGAGUGUAGUGUUCAUGCCAAGGAUGACAGCAAAUAGGAAACUUGAUGAGGUAAGGAGGAACUUGAGAAGGAUGCAGUUAGAAAGGGCUGUGAGGAUGUUUAGUUGUGAGUUCAUGAUUCUCUGGUUGUAGUCUCCCUGGUGCUAGGAUUGUUGAUGUCUGCCACUGGGCUCAGCUCUUUUAAAGUUUUUUUGUUUUUGUUUGUUUGUUUUAAUAAGGGAAAAAGAGGGUGGGAAACUUGUGAGCUGAUGGAGUGGAUUUGGAAUAUAUGGGCCAGUGAGUUAGCUCAGUGGGCUAAGGCAGUUGCUGCAAAGCCUGAGUUGAGGUCCCAGGACCUGCCUUUUGGAAGGAGCCAACUGAUUGCCAUAGCUGUCAUCUGACUUCCACAGGAUCGAACCCCUCCACCCCCAACAAUAAACACAUGUAAU
rnacentral:lncRNA from 1 species